rnacentral:rRNA from 1 species
GAUGAACGCUGGCGGCGUGCCUAAUACAUGCAAGUUGAGCGAACAGACGAGGAGCUUGCUCCUCUGACGUUAGCGGCGGACGGGUGAGUAACACGUGGAUAACCUACCUAUAAGACUGGGAUAACUUCGGGAAACCGGAGCUAAUACCGGAUAACAUGUUGAACCGCAUGGUUCAACAGUGAAAGACGGUUUUGCUGUCACUUAUAGAUGGAUCCGCGUCGCAUUAGCUAGUUGGUAAGGUAACGGCUUACCAAGGCAACGAUGCGUAGCCGACCUGAGAGGGUGAUCGGCCACACUGGAACUGAGACACGGUCCAGACUCCUACGGGAGGCAGCAGUAGGGAAUCUUCCGCAAUGGGCGAAAGCCUGACGGAGCAACGCCGCGUGAGUGAAGAAGGUCUUCGGAUCGUAAAACUCUGUUAUUAGGGAAGAACAAAUGUGUAAGUAACUAUGCACGUCUUGACGGUACCUAAUCAGAAAGCCACGGCUAACUACGUG